rnacentral:rRNA from 1 species
CAGUCGCCGCGGUAAUACGUAGGGUGCGAGCGUUAAUCGGAAUUACUGGGCGUAAAGCGUGCGCAGGCGGUUGUGUAAGACAGGUGUGAAAUCCCCGAGCUUAACCUGGGAACUGCGCUUGUGACUGCACAGCUAGAGUAUGGCAGAGGGGGGUGGAAUUCCACGUGUAGCAGUGAAAUGCGUAGAGAUGUGGAGGAACACCGAUGGCGAAGGCAGCCCCCUGGGCCAAUACUGACGCUCAUGCACGAAAGCGUGGGGAGCAAACAGGAUUAGAUACCCCCGUAGUCCCUGUCUCUUAUAC